UGGGGGAUAUUGCACAAUGGGCGAAAGCCUGAUGCAGCGACGCCGCGUGGGGGAUGAAGGCUUUCGGGUUGUAAACCUCUUUCGCUAUCGAACAAGGCCCGCUUAGGGUGGGUUGAGGGUAGGUGGAGAAGAAGCGCCGGCUAACUACGUGCCAGCAGCCGCGGUAAUACGUAGGGCGCGAGCGUUGUCCGGAAUUAUUGGGCGUAAAGGGCUUGUAGGCGGCUUGUUGCGCCUGCUGUGAAAACGCGGGGCUUAACUUCGCGCGUGCAGUGUGUACGGGCAGGCUUGAGUGUGGUAGGGGUGAAUGGAAUUCCAGGUGUAGCGGUGGAAUGCGCAGAUAUCUGGAGGAACACCGAUGGCGAAGGCAGGUCACUGGGCCAUUACUGACGCUGAGGAGCGAAAGCAUGGGUAGCGAACAGG
rnacentral:rRNA from 1 species